UACGGAGGGUGCAAGCGUUAUCCGGAUUCACUGGGUUUAAAGGGUGCGUAGGUGGGUUGGUAAGUCAGUGGUGAAAUCUCCAAGCUUAACUUGGAAACUGCCGUUGAUACUAUCUGUCUUGAAUAUUGUGGAGGUGAGCGGAAUAUGUCAUGUAGCGGUGAAAUGCUUAGAUAUGACAUAGAACACCAAUUGCGAAGGCAGCUCACUACACAAUCAUUGACUCUGAGGCACGAAAGCGUGGGGAUCAAACAGG
rnacentral:rRNA from 1 species